GGGCAGGAUAGGUAAAGUAGGCCCACCUGCAAGCAGUCGGCCCUUCUUUACUUUCCCGUAUUCGCACCUAGCGGCGCUCAAUGGAAAUCCUGCCCUGCGGAGCC
rfam:Kerstersia gyiorum strain CG1 PROKKA_contig000006, whole genome shotgun sequence.